rnacentral:rRNA from 1 species
GACGAACGCUGGCGGCGUGCCUAAUACAUGCAAGUAGAACGCAGUUGCGAACGGGUGAUUAUCGCGUAGGUAACUGCCUCAUAGCGGGGGAUAACUAUUGGAAACGAUAGCUAAUACCGCCUACUGUGAGAUGGACCUGCGUUGUAUUCGCUAGUUGGUGGGGUAAAGGCUCACCAAGGCGACCAUACAUAGCCGACCUGAGAGGGAGAGCGGCCACACUGGGACGGAGGCACGGCCCAGACUACUACGGGAGGCAGCGGUAGGUGGUCUUCGGGAAGAGACGGAAGACUGACCGAGCAACGGCGGGGGGGCGAAGAAGGUUUUCGGAAGGUAAAGGUCGGUUGUUGGAGAAGCGGUAACUAACCAGAAAGGCACGGCGAACUACGUGCCAGCAGCCGCGGUAAUAC